UACAGAGAUGGCAACCGUUGUUCGGAAUUACUGGGCGUAAAGCGCGCGUAGGUGGUUUGUUACGUUGGAUGUGAAAGCCCCGGGCUCAACCUGGGAACUGCAUCCAAAACUGGCAAGCUAGAGUACGGUAGAGGGUGGUGGAAUUUCCUGGGUAGCGGUGAAAUGCGUAGAUAUAGGAAGGAACACCAGUGGCGAAGGCGACCACCUGGACUGAUACUUACACUGAGGUGCGAAAGCGUGGGGAGCAAACAGG
rnacentral:misc_RNA from 1 species